rnacentral:lncRNA from 1 species
GACAGUUGAGUCAUAAUGCCUAGAUCAUUGUGAACUCUUUUUCCACCCGGGGGCACGUAUGACCAUUCUGGAAUCAAAGCUUACCUUAGGAAAUCCUGAGGGGCCUUAUGCUGGUCAUACUUGACUGUCUUUUGCAGAUCUUAGAAUUAAUCCAAUUGGAAUUAAAUUAAAUUGCAAUUACCAUUUGAUUUAAUUGCAGUUAAAUUAUAUGUAGGCUAAGUAGCAAAAAUGAGGUAAUGUCAUUCUCAACAGACCUUGGGGAAAAAAGUUGGAAAUGACCUUUUCCACUGUGAAUGAUACAAGCAGCCUCAUUAUUACAGUCUGCUCCGUAGACUUCUGGGAGAUUACUGACUUCUCGGAAAGAAGAAAUUUUGAGGAUAAAGAAACUAUUUUGGAUCAGAAAUGGUGUAUCAAACUGUAUGUCUUGGCAGUUUUGCCAGUUCUUAAGCACGAGCAGCUUGGUGAAAAGGAUCCACACCCAAUGGGAAGCCUCUCUGUCUUGAGUUCAGUGUCACUGCUGCCUGGUUCCAUUGAGGCUACUGCUGGAGAUCCAGAUGCAGCACUGCCAGUAUGCAAGAGAGAAUUCUGCUAG